GAUGAACGCUGGCGGCGUGCCUAAUACAUGCAAGUCGAGCGAACAGACGAGGAGCUUGCUCCUCUGACGUUAGCGGCGGACGGGUGAGUAACACGUGGAUAACCUACCUAUAAGACUGGGAUAACUUCGGGAAACCGGAGCUAAUACCGGAUAAUAUAUUGAACCGCAUGGUUCAAUAGUGAAAGACGGUUUUGCUGUCACUUAUAGAUGUAUCCGCGCCGCAUUAGCUAGUUGGUAAGGUAACGGCUUACCAAGGCAACGAUGCGUAGCCGACCUGAGAGGGUGAUCGGCCACACGGGAACUGAGACACGGUCAAGAAUCCUACGGGAGGCAGCAGUAGGGAAUAUUCCGCAAUGGGCGAAAGCAUGACGGAGCAACGCCGCGUGAGUGAUGAAGGUCUUCGGAUCGUAAAACUCUGUUAUUAGGGAAGAACAAAUGUGUAAGUAACUAUGCACGUCUUGACGGUACCUAAUCAGAAAGCCACGGCUAACUACGUG
rnacentral:rRNA from 1 species